AUAAAAAAUAACAUAACAACUAUUAUAAUAUCUUAUUCCUUAAAGUUAACCCGAACGCAAAAUUUUGCCCAAGAUUUAACCUAACUUCUUUGCUUAAUUUUACUGUAUUAACCCUAUUUAAUUUAAUCAAAAUGUUAACGUUAAUUGUUAGGGAAAUCAAAAUAAACAAAUCACUUCUAAUUUUUCUCCUUAAUUUUACUAAACAAAUUAUAUUAACCCUAGAUUUAAUUUAUGCAAAAU
rnacentral:lncRNA from 1 species